rnacentral:misc_RNA from 1 species
AAGUCGUAACAAGGUUUCCGUAGGUGAACCUGCGGAAGGAUCAUUAUUGAAUAAACUGGCUUAGGUUGCUGCUGGCUCUUAGGAGCAUGUGCACAUCUAUUCCAUUUUUUAAAACCUCCUGUGCACUUUGUGUAGACCUGGACAAUUUUCAAGAAAGCUUUUUCUUGGUUCGAGGAUUGCUGUGUGAAAAGCCAGCUUUCUUUGUGUUUCAGUGUCUAUGUUUUACACACACUCUAUUGCAAUGUAUUAGAAUGUUAUAAAUAGGCCCUUGUGCCUUUAAAAACCAAAUACAACUUUCAACAACGGAUCUCUUGGCUCUC